ACUCCUACGGGAGGCAGCAGUGGGGAAUAUUGCACAAUGGGCGCAAGCCUGAUGCAGCCAUGCCGCGUGUAUGAAGAAGGCCUUCGGGUUGUAAAGUACUUUCAGCAGUUAGGAGGAGGGUGGUGUUAUAGCAUACUCAUUUGACGUUAGCUGCAGAAGAAGCACCGGCUAACUCCGUGCCAGCAGCCGCGGUAAUACGGAGGGUGCGAGCGUUAAUCGGAAUUACUGGGCGUAAAGCGCAUGCAGGUGGUUUGUUAAGUCAGAUGUGAAAGCCCGGGGCUCAACCUCGGAAUUGCAUUUGAAACUGGCAAACUAGAGUACUGUAGAGGGGGGUAGAAUUUCAGGUGUAGCGGUGAAAUGCGUAGAGAUCUGAAGGAAUACCGGUGGCGAAGGCGGCCCCCUGGACAGAUACUGACACUCAGAUGCGAAAGCGUGGGGAGCAAACAGGAUUAGAUACCCUGGUAGGAUAGCGU
rnacentral:rRNA from 1 species